rnacentral:rRNA from 1 species
GACAAACGCUGGCGGUAUGCCUAACACAUGCAAGUCGAACGGACAGAACAGGGAAGCUUUUCGGAGUGGAACUGGAAAGUUAGUGGCGGAUGGGUGAGUAACGCGUGGACAACCUACCUUGUAAAGGGGAAUAACCUCGAGAAAUCGAAGCUAAUACCCCAUAAUAACCUUGCUUCGCAUGAAGUAAGGAGGAAAGGCGGCCUUAGCGCUGUCGAUACAAGAUGGGUCCGCGUCUGAUUAGCUAGUUGGUGAGGUAAAGGCUCACCAAGGCGACGAUCAGUAGCCGGCCUGAGAGGGUGAACGGCCACAUUGGGACUGAGACACGGCCCAAACUCCUACGGGAGGCAGCAGUGGGGAAUCUUCCGCAAUGGGCGAAAGCCUGACGGAGCAAUGCCGCGUGAGUGAAGAAGGCCUUCGGGUUGUAAAACUCUGUCCUUAUCGAAGAGAGAGUGUAGUAGUAACUGACAAUACUAGGACGGUAGAUGAGGAGGAAGCCCCGGCUAACUAUGUG